CAUAUUAUAUUAUCCAAACACAUUUUUAUUUUAGUUAACUAUUACAGUAGUGCACACAGAUGUUUUAAUGUUGUUCAUCUCAAUUGCUAAAUACUGGCUGGCAGAAGGAUAAUGAGGAAGAGAACGGUCGUAAUGGCCAAAUGAUGACACACUGCUGUACAAAAGACUGGAUGCUAUAGGCUGAUUAACUGAUCAUACUAUAUUUGAAUAUACUAUAUUGAAAAAAUAUUAUGGGUUACACAAUGUUUGACAAUGAGUGACUGCUUUAACCUUCGGAAUAGCAACGAUUCACUCAUUGGCUGCGGGACACGUGGCGUCGCAUCCCUGUAUAAAGAACGAACGUUCAGACUGCCCGUUUAAAACCUCGACACUCCUUCGCGCAUAGUUCUUCACACCACGUUAACCUGCUGGAGAGAGCAAAGACCUGCCAUAUAACUUUAAUACAAAAAAGCUGCUGCCACUAUCAUCAUGAGUGAACCUCGAAAGAGGAUGGGCUACCUGGCCCAAAUUGAUGGGAAGCAAGUGACUGUCAUCAAACAUUUGUGGGAUGGAAAAGUAUUGAGAGCCAAAUCAGCCCAAAAACACGCCCAGUAUGAAGCGACAUUCUAUGAGUGGGACAUGCAUGUUGCUAUCUCAUUCAACCGUGGCGGACAACACUGCUUUCUCAAAGUCGGAAAGGGCCUGGAGCUGGUUGAAGAAAAUCUGCCAAAUAGCUUGGGUAACGAAUACCGCUUUAGGUGGGAAGAUGACAAUGGGACUGAUUGGAGGCGUCUGGAGCAUAUAAAAGACAACGUGGUGAAGUUCCUCUGCUGUGAUGAAUCGGGCAAAAUUUGCUUGAAGGACAAAUCGGAGAUUAGACUUGACAAUAUUCACCUGUAUAGAAUUGAAGUCUCCAAAUGAUUUCUAUGAAUGCAAUUCAUUAUUAUUUUUAUGUUGCAUACAAUAUAAUGAUAGAUAGAUACAAAGAUAGAGAAGAAAAAUACACAUUUUCUUUGUAUCUUUUAUCUUUUUAACCUUGUUAAGCACAUCCCUGCUUGUACAUGUCUGUUAUCUUAUGACAGCAACAAGGAAAAUGUUAUAAUUUUGUAAGGAAUGGCAGAAACCUUUAGCCAUUCCUUACUA